rnacentral:rRNA from 1 species
GAUGAACGCUGGCGGCGUGCCUAAUACAUGCAAGUCGAGCGAACAGAUAAGGAGCUUGCUCCUUUGACGUUAGCGGCGGACGGGUGAGUAACACGUGGGUAACCUACCUAUAAGACUGGAAUAACUCCGGGAAACCGGGGCUAAUGCCGGAUAACAUGUUGAACCGCAUGGUUCUACAGUGAAAGGCGGCUUUGCUGUCACUUAUAGAUGGACCCGCGCCGGAUUAGCUAGUUGGUGAGGUAACGGCUCACCAAGGCAACGAUACGUAGCCGACCUGAGAGGGUGAUCGGCCACACUGGAACUGAGACACGGUCCAGACUCCUACGGGAGGCAGCAGUAGGGAAUCUUCCGCAAUGGGCGAAAGCCUGAUGGAGCAACGCCGCGUGAGUGAUGAAGGUCUUCGGAUCGUAAAACUCUGUUAUUAGGGAAGAACAAAUGCGUAAGUAACUGUGCGCGUCUUGACGGUACCUACUCAGAAAGCCACGGCUAACUACGUG